rnacentral:rRNA from 1 species
AAUGAACGUUGGCGGCAUGGAUUAGGCAUGCAAGUCGAGCGAGAAGGUUAUGAUUGACGCUUCGGUUGAUUUCAUAACUGGACAGCGGCGCAAGGGUGAGUAACGCGUAGUUAUCUGCCCCAGGGUUGGGAAUAGCCACGGGAAACUGUGGGUAAUGCCCAAUAAUAUCUCCGGAUCAAAGGUGUGAUUCCGCCCUGGGAGGGGACUGCGUUCUACUAGCUUGUUGGUGGGGUAAUGGCCUACCAAGGCUUUGAUGGAUAGCGGGCGUGAGAGCGUGGCCCGUCACACUGGGACUGAGACACUGCCCAGACACCUACGGGUGGCUGCAGUCGAGAAUCUUCGGCAAUGGGCGAAAGCCUGACCGAGCAAUGCCGCGUGCGGGAUGAAGGCCCUCGGGUUGUAAACCGCGAAAGUGAGGAGGAAGGGCCCGUGAAGAGCGGGUCUUGACCGAUCCACAGUAAGGACGGGCUAAGUUCGUGCCAGCAGCCGCGGUAACACGAACCGUCCAAACGUUAUUCGGAAUCAUUGGGCUUAAAGGGUGCGUAGGCGGCCCAUUAAGUCGGGUGUGAAAUCCUUCGGCUCAACCGAAGAAUUGCGCCCGAUACUGAUGGGCUUGAGGGAGACAGGGGUGAGCGGAACUGAUGGUGGAGCGGUGAAAUGCGUUGAUAUCAUCAGGAAACACCGGUGGCGAAAGCGGCUCACUGGGUCUCUUCUGACGCUGAGGCACGAAAGCCAGGGUAGCGAACGGGGAUUAGAUACCCCGGUAGUCCUGGCUGUAAACGUUGAGCACUGGGUCGAGGACUCCCCAUAG